GCACUGCUGAGGAGUCCCAUCACAGGACGAAACGGCUGUCCAGUAC
rfam:Schistosoma mansoni, WGS project CABG00000000 data, chromosome 2 unplaced supercontig 0120, strain Puerto Rico